GAACGCCCAAGCCGUCCUAUGUACUUACUCGGUUGCCUGACAGCCCAGGAAGUCCCCCUCCUUCUUUUCCGCCGCUCCGGGCCAUGUGACAUUUUCUAACUCAAGAUACAACUAAUACACUAAUAUUCAUGUACUCAUAAUUUCCAAACUUGACUAUUGCACUCAUUCCAUAUCGACAACUUCAGGUUAUAAUGGAUUCUGCUG